rnacentral:rRNA from 1 species
UACGGAGGGAGCUAGCGUUGUUCGGAAUUACUGGGCGUAAAGCGCACGUAGGCGGCUUUUUAAGUCAGGGGUGAAAUCCCGGGGCUCAACCCCGGAACUGCCUUUGAAACUGGAAGGCUAGAAUCCUGGAGAGGUGAGUGGAAUUCCGAGUGUAGAGGUGAAAUUCGUAGAUAUUCGGAAGAACACCAGUGGCGAAGGCGACUCACUGGACAGGUAUUGACGCUGAGGUGCGAAAGCGUGGGGAGCAAACAGG